GAGUUUGAUCGUGGCUCAGAUUGAACGCUGGCGGCAUGCCUUACACAUGCAAGUCGAACGGCAGCAUGAUCUAGCUUGCUAGAUUGAUGGCGAGUGGCGAACGGGUGAGUAAUACAUCGGAACGUGCCCUGUAGUGGGGGAUAACUAGUCGAAAGAUUAGCUAAUACCGCAUACGACCUGAGGGUGAAAGUGGGGGACCGCAAGGCCUCAUGCUAUAGGAGCGGCCGAUGUCUGAUUAGCUAGUUGGUGGGGUAAAGGCCCACCAAGGCGACGAUCAGUAGCUGGUCUGAGAGGACGAUCAGCCACACUGGGACUGAGACACGGCCCAGACUCCUACGGGAGGCAGCAGUGGGGAAUUUUGGACAAUGGGCGAAAGCCUGAUCCAGCAAUGCCGCGUGUGUGAAGAAGGCCUCGG
rnacentral:rRNA from 1 species